AGAGCGCCCUCACGGUUUCCCCUAUGACCAUGCUCUGCGCUCUGCGUCACCUCCGUGCCACAGCCAGAACUACUGCAGGCGGAAGCAGUGGGAGAUUGACACCGCCCCCACCCCCUCCCUUCCAGUCAGCAACGCGGUGGCUACGUGACGCACAGAAUCACUCAGCACGGAAGGCAGACGUGGGAGCUGGAGAAUGGCCGCAAACCAAUCCCCGCCGCUUUAAGCUCUCUGGUCCCUCCACAUCCGGGAGGGGGCAGAGUCACAUCGGACAAGGACCGGAAGAACCUCCCCCGGAGCCGAUCCCUGCCUUCCACCCUACAACGUGGGCCUGCUCUUGGCGCCAGCCUUGUGGAGCGCCCUCAAAGCCUCCACUGUGGCCAUGCUCUGCGUCACUUACACACUGCAGCCACAGCUACUGCGGGCAGAAGCAGGAGGAGAUUGACACCGCCCCCACCCCCUCCAUUCCAGUCAGCAACGUGGUGACAACGUCAUGCACGGAAGGACUCAGCACAGAAGGCAGAUGUGGGAGCUGGAAAAUGGCCGCCUGGCCUGGGAGCUCAGCUGCCCCAGGGAGCCAUCGCUGGAGCCAAGGACAAGCCCCACUGUAGCAGAAGUGAUUUCAACCAGACUCCACAUGGAUGAGACCCUGCAGAGCUCAGUCCCUCCUUGCAGAAGACUUUGCAGUAGAGGACCUAAUGAUCUUGAACAGCUGGAAAUAACUGGAAACACCACCACACUGGCCAGACCAUCUGCCCGGAGAACCUACAAACAGGAUCAACAGCAUCUAGUGAUGUAGCCGUCAACUGUGGCAUAAUCAGGCUCACCUGAAAGAGAAAGCACAAAAUAAUUAGGUCUGCUUAUGAGAAAUGCUCAUUACAAGAUUCUGCACAGGACGGAAACACUGGCCACCUGUGUUAAAGGGAUGGAAGGCAAUGGUGGAUGAGGCUGAAAGAGAUGUCUUGAUUCUAUGAUUCUAUGGUUUGCUGAAAAACCAAGGCCUUUUACCAAGUUCCAUCACUAAACUGACACUGGGAAUUAUAUAGCCAGAAACUACAUAAAGUAAGUAAUUCUGGCGCACUGGUCAGGGUAGGUAGAGAUGCCCUCCUGCACAGUAGGAAAGACAGAGCUGACGACCAGCAUGGCUCUGUGUCUCCCAGUGUCCUGGCUCUGUGCUCCACAAAUGCCCUCCCAGACCUGAUGGGAAGGCCAGAGGUUAGGCCAGCCUGGGAUUUCGAGAGACCUGAUACCAAGGAACGUCAUGGUGGGCUGACAUGAAGCCAGAGGGUACUGUGGAAAUAGUUGAUCCAUUCGCACUCCUGGGUCUCAAAGAACUGAAACGACACAGACAAAACAGCCCUAACAUCUGUGAGAAGAGAACAAAUCUCCUCUAUUCUGAUCUCUUCUCAUCCCACUACAAAGAUCUCUGUCCACAACAAAGAGCAGGUGAUGUUGGUCUUCUGCAGGAAACAUGGUAACUAACUAAGUAGUCAUAGAAUCAUAGAACCAACUAGGUUGCAAAACACCUCAUCCAGAGAAGAGGUCAUCCCUUUACACACCUAGAUACUUCAAAGAUUAGCGUUAAGAUCAUGAAGGUCUGCAGGGCCAAUGUGGAAGGGGUCACUCAGUACACCACUACCUUCCUAAGGGCACUGCAUGUUCCUUGGUACCCCACCCAUGGUCCUGCAAUCCCAGCUGACUUCUCUCCCUCAAAUAUGGUGCAAUAAAAAAGCAUUGGGGAUCUAUGAAA